AAUUCUUUAUGGUUAAGACUAAAGUAUUCACUAAAAAACUACAAAAUCUGUUCUUAUCAGCUUAAUAUCUGAUAGUAUCUGCAUAGCAGAUCCAGUAUAUUAAACUGAUUUUUGGAAAUUGGCGGAAUGUCAGGGGCUUGCUCCGCUUCCGCCGCGGGUUGGCCCGGUAUUGCAGUACCGCCGGGAUCGGCCCAUAAAAA